CAAUAGCGUAUAUUUAAGUUGUUGCAGUUAAAAAGCUCGUAGUCGGAUUUUGGCUGAGAACGAACGGUCCGCCGUUAGGUGUGCACUGUUUGGUCUCAGCUUCCUGGUGAGGAGGUGUGCUUCACGGCCACUUAGUCACCGUGGUUACUUUGAAAAAAUUAGAGUGUUCAAAGCGGGCUUACGCUUGAAUAUAUUAGCAUGGAAUAACACCAUAGGACUCCUGUCCUAUUUCGUUGGUCUCGGGACGGGAGUAAUGAUUAAGAGGAACAGUUGGGGGCAUUCGUAUUUCAUUGUCAGAGGUGAAAUUCUUGGACUUAUGAAAGACGAACUUCUGCGAAAGCAUUUGCCAAGGAUGUUUUCAUUGA
rnacentral:rRNA from 1 species